AUUGAACGCUGGCGGAAUGUUUUACACAUGCAAGUCGAACGGUAGAGGGGGCAACCCCCUUGAGAGUGGCGAACGGGUGAGUAAUAUAUCGGAACGUGCCCAGUCGUGGGGGAUAACGUAGCGAAAGUUACGCUAAUACCGCAUACGAACUAAGGUUGAAAGUGGGGGAUCGCAAGACCUCAUGCUCAUGGAGUGGCCGAUAUCUGAUUAGCUAGUUGGUGAGGUAAAGGCUCACCAAGGCGACGAUCAGUAGCUGGUUUGAGAGAACGACCAGCCACACUGGAACUGAGACACGGUCCAGACUCCUACGGGAGGCAGCAGUGGGGAAUUUGGACAUGGCGCAAGCCUGAUCCAGCAAUGCCGCGUGCAGGAUGAAGG
rnacentral:rRNA from 1 species